ensembl:lncRNA
CGGGCAGCCGGGACCCCCGCGGGUAUUUGGGGCGCUUGGGGUCGCGCCCCCGCCGAACGAGGCCCAGGCCCAGACGGACGCGCGGGCAUCGGAUCGUCGACCCACCCGGUGCACCGUGGCCCCCGCAAGGCCUUCCCGCCGCGUGUGUCCGGCUCCGCGUGGCAGCCGGUGUGCGCGGGGUCCGGGGACAGUCAAGCAGCCUUUAAACCCAAACCCAGACAGGACCAUGAACCUCUCCAGUUUAAAGCCCAAAGACACUGGUUGGAGCCCAAAGUGGGGUUCGUCUCCUUCGAUCAAUGCAUUAUAUCAUCCCCUGAAAGUGAUUAGAAAGCAG